GGGGAAGCCUAAUGCAAGCGCAGAGGAGGAACUUAAACCAGUACUGAGGGACAUUGGAUUCAGGUAAGUGACCGAAGGGGUUUUAGCCUAGCCAAUAAGCAUCUCCUCAUGGAGAUACAUGGAAGCAGUGCAUCUCUAGGGGGAAAGUUCAGCAUCUCCAUGCAGGAAGCACCUCCAGUGGAUGAGUGUUCCUAUGCUGUAAUCUAAACACAGUCUUUUCUCAGCGGCAAAAAGUCUGCAGGGAUUAACUAUACUAACUAUCCUCACCAGAACAACUACAUAGUUGUAGUUGUACUGGUGACUAUAGUGUCCCAUUAAUCUAUG